GUUAUUUUGGCAGAGUAGUGCGUUAGGCUUAGGACCUAAAUAUAUAGGCAAGUUCUAUAAAUAACA
rnacentral:tRNA from 1 species